AUUGAACGCUAGCGGCAGGCCUAACACAUGCAAGUCGAACGAGUGGCGGACGGGUGAGUAAUAUAUCGGAACGUGCCUGGUGGAGGGGGAUAACUACUGGAAAGGGUGGCUAAUACCGCAUACCAUCGGCGCGGCCGAGAUUGGAUUAGCUAGUUGGUGGGGUAACGGCUCACCAAGGCAACGAUCCCUAGCUGGUUUGAGAGGAUGACCAGCCACACUGGGACUGAGACACGGCCCAGACUCCUACGGGAGGCAGCAGUGGGGAAUUUUGGACAAUGGGCGAAAGCCUGAUCCAGCCAUGCCGCGUGUAUGAUGAAGGCCUUCGGGUUGUAAAGUACUUUUGGCAGGGAAGCGGUAUCUGCAGAAUAAGCACCGGCUAACUCCGUGCCAGCAGCCGCGGUAAUAC
rnacentral:rRNA from 1 species